GGGAAUUUGGCUCAGUGGUAGAGCGCUUGCCUAGCAAGCACAAGGCCCUGGGUUCGGUCCCCAGCUCCUA
rnacentral:tRNA from 1 species